rnacentral:rRNA from 1 species
UGCCCUUGGGAGGGGAACGAAAAUUGGAAAUGACUGUUAAUACCCCAUAGGUUGAGGAGCAAAAGGAGGAAUCUGCCCAAGGAGGGGCUCACAUCUGAUUAGUUAGUUGGUGAGACAAUGGCUUACCAAGGUGAUGAUCAGUAGCUGGUCCGAGAGGAUGUCAGCCACACUGGGAUUGAGACAUGACCUACACUCCUAUGGGAGGCAACAGUGGGGAAUUUUCUGCAAUGGGCGAAAGCCUGAUGGAGCAAUGGCGCAUGAAGGCAGAAGGCCCACAGGUCAUGAAAUUCUUCUCUCGGAGAAGAGAAAAUGAUGAUAUCUGAGGAAUAAGCAUCGACUAACUCUGUGCCAGCAGCCGUGGUAAGACAGAGGAUGCAAGUGUUAUCCGGAAUGAUUGGGGCGUAAAGCGUCUGUUAGGGUGGCUUUUCAAGUACCGCCGUCAAUCCCCGGGCUCAACCCUGGAAGGCAGUGGAAACUACCAAGCUGGAGUAUGGUAGGGGCAGAGGGAAUUUCCAGUGGAGUGGUGAAAUGCAUUGAGAUCAAAAAGAACACCAACGAUGAAAGCACUCUGCUGGGCCAUCACUGACACUGAGAGACGAAAGCUAGGGGAGCAAAUGGGAUUAGAUACCCCAGUAGUCCUAGCCGUAAACGAAUGGAUUAUAAGUGCUGUUUGCGUAUCGACCCGGCGCAGUGCUGUGUAGCUAACGCGGUUAAGUAUCCCGCCUGGGGAGUCGUUCGCAAAGAAUGAACUCAAAGGAAUGACGGGGCCCCGCACAAGCGGAUGGAGCAUUGUGGUCAAUUCGAUUGCAAAGCGAAGAAACCUUACCAGGGGUGACAUUUGCCGUGAAUUCCUCCCGGAAAGAAGGAGUGCCUUCGGGAACGCGGACACAGGUGGUUUUGCAUGGUGUUCGUCAGCUCGUGCGUAAGGUGUUGGGUUAAGUCCCGCAACGAGGGCAACCUUCGUAUUUAGUUGCCAACAUUGAGUUUGGAACCCCGAAUAGACUGUCAGUGAUAAGCCAAAGAAAGGUGAGGAUGAUGUCAAGUCAUCAUGCCCCGUAUGCCCUAGGCGACACAUGUGCUACAGUGACCUGGACAAAGGGUUGUGAC